AACGGUAACAGGAAGAAGCUUGCUUCUUUGCUGACGAGUGGCGGACGGGUGAGUAAUGCUUAGGGAUCUGCCCAGAGGUGGGGGACAACAGUUGGAAACGACUGCUAAUACCGCAUGAUGCCUACGGGCCAAAGGGGGCUUCGGCUCUCGCCUUUGGAGGAACCUAAGUGAGAUUAGCUAGUUGGUGAGGUAAUGGCUCACCAAGGCGACGAUCUCUAGCUGGUCUGAGAGGAUGAUCAGCCACACUGGAACUGAGACACGGUCCAGACUCCUACGGGAGGCAGCAGUGGGGAAUAUUGCACAAUGGGGGAAACCCUGAUGCAGCCAUGCCGCGUGUGUGAAGAAGGCCUUCGGGUUGUAAAGCACUUUCAGUAGCGAGGAAAAGUUAUUGGUUAAUACCCAAUAGCCUUGACGUUAACUACAGAAGAAGCACCGGCUAACUCCGUGCCAGCAGCCGCGGUAAUACGGAGGGUGCGAGCGUUAAUCGGAAUUACUGGGCGUAAAGCGCAUGCAGGCGGUCUGUUAAGCCAGAUGUGAAAGCCCGGGGCUCAACCCCGGAAUAGCAUUUGGAACUGGCAGACUAGAGUUUUGUAGAGGGGGGUAGAAUUUCAGGUGUAGCGGUGAAAUGCGUAGAGAUCUGAAGGAAUACCAGUGGCGAAGGCGGCCCCCUGGACAAAAACUGACGCUCAGAUGCGAAAGCGUGGGUAGCAAACAGGAUUAGAUACCCUGGUAGUCCACGCCGUAAACGAUGUCAACUAGUUGCUUGUAGCUUUUACGCUGUGGGUGACGGAGCUAACGCAUUAAGUUGA
rnacentral:rRNA from 1 species